rnacentral:rRNA from 1 species
UACGUAGGGUGCGAGCGUUGUCCGGAAUUAUUGGGCGUAAAGGGCUCGUAGGCGGUUUGUCGCGUCGGGAGUGAAAACACACAGCUUAACUGUGUGCUUGCUUCCGAUACGGGCAGACUAGAGGUAUGCAGGGGAGAACGGAAUUCCUGGUGUAGCGGUGAAAUGCGCAGAUAUCAGGAGGAACACCGGUGGCGAAGGCGGGUCUCUGGGCCGUAACUGACGCUGAGACGCGAAAGCGUGGGGAGCAAACAGG